rnacentral:pre_miRNA from 1 species
AAUAAGAUCAUUUUUUAGUUUUUACAUAUAAUGUUUUCACUCUUCGUCUUACUUGAAUUUUUUUUGUGAUUAAUAUUUUUAUUCUUACUACAUGCUAAAACAUGAAUAGUACUUUAUACGUGACUAAUUUUUUAAAGUUUUUUACAAAUUUUUUAAAUAAGACGAAUGGUCAAACGUUAGACACAGGAAAACGAAAAAUAAAGUUAUU